UCAAGUUACUUUAUUUGUAUCGCUUUAAAUGAAGAAAUGCUUUGGCUGGGGUAAUUCACAACGCAGUAUAACCUUCUGUAGAACUGUC